UGGUGCUGUAUAGAUUAGGUGUAGUCUGUUGGUGUUGUAUAGAUUAGGUGUAGUCUGUUGGUGCUGUAUAGAUUAGGUGUAGUCUGUUGGUGCUGUAUAGAUUAGGUGUAGUCUGUUGGUGCUGUAUAGAUUAGGUGUAGUCUGUUGGUGUUGUAUAGAUUAGGUGUAGUCUGUUGGUGCUGUAUAGAUUAGGUGUAGUCUGUUGGUGUUGUAUAGAUUAGGUGUAGUCUG